AACGCUAGCGGCAGGCCUAAUACAUGCAAGUCGGACGGGAUCCGUUGGUAGCUUGCUACCAAUGGUGAGAGUGGCGCACGGGUGCGUAACGCGUGAGCAACCUACCUCUAUCAGGGGGAUAGCCUCUCGAAAGAGAGAUUAACACCGCAUAACAUCAACAGUUCGCAUGUUCGGUUGAUUAAAUAUUUAUAGGAUAGAGAUGGGCUCGCGUGACAUUAGCUAGUUGGUAGGGUAACGGCUUACCAAGGCGACGAUGUCUAGGGGCUCUGAGAGGAGAAUCCCCCACACUGGUACUGAGACACGGACCAGACUCCUACGGGAGGCAGCAGUAAGGAAUAUUGGUCAAUGGGCGGAAGCCUGAACCAGCCAUGCCGCGUGCAGGAUGACUGCCCUAUGGGUUGUAAACUGCUUUUGUCCAGGAAUAACCCCAGAUACGUGUAUCUGGCUGAAUGUACUGGAAGAAUAAGGAUCGGCUAACUCCGUG
rnacentral:rRNA from 1 species